CAGUAAUCAGUGCUUGCAGUUGUAUUUUUUUAUUAUUAAUAUGGACUUUUAAAUUUGAUCCAAUAGGUGGUUGCUGUCAUUGGUGAGGAUGCAUCAUCCGUUGAAGGUCAUGUGAAUGUCCUGCAUAUCCAGUACAGCAAGGUGCGAGAGGAUAUACUAAAGAAGUACCCUUUCUUGAAGACAACCUCAGGGUUUGAUGAAGUUGACCGAAUGCAUCCAUCACCUGUCAGUUUAAGCCAGCGCUUCAAGGACGGCGUUUACCAGUAUUGUGCCAAAGGUGCUUGAGCUUGUUCAAAGAAAAGCUCCAUUAGCCAAAGUCUCCAAA